UGGGGAAUUUUGGACAAUGGGCGCAAGCCUGAUCCAGCAAUGCCGCGUGCAGGAUGAAGGCCUUCGGGUUGUAAACUGCUUUUGUACGGAGCGAAAAGGUCUGCCCUAAUACGGUGGGCUCAUGACGGUACCGUAAGAAUAAGCACCGGCUAACUUCGUGCCAGCAGCCGCGGUAAUACGAAGGGUGCAAGCGUUACUCGGAAUUACUGGGCGUAAAGCGUGCGUAGGUGGUUUGUUACGUCUGAUGUGAAAGCCCUGGGCUCAACCUGGGAAUUGCAUUGGAGACUGGCGGGCUAGAGUGCGGUAGAGGAUGGCGGAAUUCCGCGUGUAGCAGUGAAAUGCGUAGAUAUGCGUAGGAACACCGAUGGCGAAGGCAAUCCCCUGGACCUGUACUGACGCUCAUGCACGAAAGCGUGGGGAGCAAACA
rnacentral:rRNA from 1 species